AUGGCCCUGAAUCAAGGCCAGCAGUUUUCUGAAGUCAUUGGUUUCAAGCAGAAGCCUAAAGUGGUAUCUUUCUGUGGUCUCUUGGCCAUUUCAGAACUUUAGAAAUGUAGUGAUCAAUUCAUUAGAAAGAAACGAUU
ensembl:snoRNA small nucleolar RNA SNORA2/SNORA34 family